UGGGGAAUAUUGGACAAUGGGCGCAAGCCUGAUCCAGCCAUGCCGCGUGUGUGAAGAAGGCCUUAGGGUUGUAAAGCACUUUCAGUGGGGAGAAAGGUUUGUCACCUAAUACGUGAUGAGAUUGAUGUUACCCACAGAAGAAGCACCGGCUAACUCCGUGCCAGCAGCCGCGGUAAUACGGAGGGUGCAAGCGUUAAUCGGAAUUACUGGGCGUAAAGCGCACGUAGGUGGUUCGCUAAGUCAGCUGUGAAAUCCCCGGGCUCAACCUGGGACUUGCAGUUGAAACUGGUGAGCUAGAGUAGGGUAGAGGGGUGUGGAAUUCCAGGUGUAGCGGUGAAAUGCGUAGAUAUCUGGAGGAACAUCAGUGGCGAAGGCGACACCCUGGACUCAUACUGACACU
rnacentral:rRNA from 1 species